rnacentral:lncRNA from 1 species
CCUCCGGUGCAGCCGCCGCCACCGCUGCCUCCUUUUUUCUUCUGCCGUCGCCGCCACCUCCUUUUCCUCUGCAGCCGAUGCCUCCUUUUCCUCCUCCUCGGCCGCCGUCGCCACCUCAUUUUCCUCCUCCUCCUCCGCCGCCGCCGCCGCCUUUUCCUCCGCCGUCGCUGCUGCCGCCGCCACCUCAUUUUCCUCCGGCGCUAACACCUCCUUUUCCUCCUCCUCCGCCGCCACCGCUGCCUCCUUUUUUCUUCUGCCGUCGCCGCCACCUCCUUUUCCUCUGCAGCCGAUGCCUCCUUUUCCUCCUCCUCGGCCGCCGUCGCCACCUCAUUUUCCUCCUCCUCCUCCGCCGCCGCCGCCGCCUUUUCCUCCGCCGUCGCUGCUGCCGCCGCCACCUCAUUUUCCUCCGGCGCUAACACCUCCUUUUCCUCCUCCUCCGCCGCCACCGCUGCCUCCUUUUUUUCCUCCUCUGUCGUCGCUGCCCGCCACCACCUUUUCCUCCGCCGCUGUAGUGUGCCGAGUCCUCGGUGUGCUAAAUCAAACUUUAAUCAAAUUGCCCGAAGCUUGGUAUUGGACGCUUUAGAGAGGUCUGUUGAUGUUCCGAGUGCUUCGUAAGGAUGUAUAUGGGUGUUUGGACCUUGGAGCGCAAGAUUGAAGAAAUU